UCGAACGCGAAAGCUCCCUUCGGGGAGCAAGUAGAGUGGCGCACGGGUGAGUAACACGUAGGUAAUCUACCUUUGGAUGGGGAAUAACAACCGGAAACGGUUGCUAAUACCGCAUAAUGCAGCGGCACCUAAUGGUGACAGUUGUUAAAGCGGGGGAUCGCAAGACCUCGCGUCUGAAGAGGAGCCUGCGGCAGAUUAGCUAGUUGGUAAGGUAACGGCUUACCAAGGCGAUGAUCUGUAGCCGGCCUGAGAGGGCGGUCGGCCACACUGACACUGACAUACGGGUCAGACUCCUACGGGAGGCAGCAGUCGGGAAUUUUGGGCAAUGGGCGAAAGCCUGACCCAGCAACGCCGCGUGAAGGAUGAAAUCCCUCGGGAUGUAAACUUCGCAAGAACGGGAAGAAUAAGUAAGGGUUAAUAUCUCUUACGAUGACGGUACUGUUUGUAAGCUCCGGCUAACUCCGUGCCAGCAGCCGCGGUAAUACGGGGGGAGCAAGCGUUGUUCGGAUUUACUGGGCGUAAAGGGCGCGUAGGCGGCCACCGCAAGUCGACUGUGAAAUCUCCGGGCUUAACCCGGAAAGGUCAGCCGAUACUGCGGGGCUAGAGUGCAGAAGGGGCAACUGGAAUUCUCGGUGUAGCGGUGAAAUGCGUAGAUAUCGAGAGGAACACCUGCGGCGAAGGCGGGUUGCUGGGCUGACACUGACGCUGAGGCGCGAAAGCUAGGGGAGCGAACGGGAUUAGAUACCCCGGUAGUCCUAGCCUUAAACGAUGAAUGCUUGGUGUCUGGGGUUUUAUAGUCCCCGGGUGCCGUCGCUAACG
rnacentral:rRNA from 1 species